rnacentral:rRNA from 1 species
GAUGAACGCUGGCGGCGUGCCUAAUACAUGCAAGUCGAGCGAACAGACGAGGAGCUUGCUCCUCUGACGUUAGCGGCGGACGGGUGAGUAACACGUGGAUAACCUACCUAUAAGACUGGGAUAACUUCGGGAAACCGGAGCUAAUACCGGAUAAUAUAUUGAACCGCAUGGUUCAAUAGUGAAAGACGGUUUUGCUGUCACUUAUAGAUGGAUCCGCGCCGCAUUAGCUAGUUGGUAAGGUAACGGCUUACCAAGGCAACGAUGCGUAGCCGACCUGAGAGGGGGAGGGGCAACACGGGAACAGAGACACGGUCCAGACUCCUAGGGGAGGAAGCAGUAGGGAAUCUUCCGAAUGGGGCGAAAGCUGGACGGAGCAGCGCCGCGUGAGUGAUAAAGGUCUUCGGAUCGAAAAACUCUUUUAUUAGGGAAAAAAAAAUGUGUAAGUAACUAUGCACGUCUUGACGGUACCUAAUCAGAAAGCCACGGCUAACUCCGUG